CAGCAGCCGCGGUAAUACGUAGGUCCCGAGCGUUGUCCGGAUUUAUCGGGCGUAAAGCGAGCGCAGGCGGUUAGAUAAGUCUGAAGUUAAAGGCUGUGGCUUAACCAUAGUACGCUUUGGAAACUGUUUAACUUGAGUGCAGAAGGGGAGAGUGGAAUUCCAUGUGUAGCGGUGAAAUGCGUAGAUAUAUGGAGGAACACCGGUGGCGAAAGCGGCUCUCUGGUCUGUAACUGACGCUGAGGCUCGAAAGCGUGGGGAGCGAACAGGAUUAGAUACCCCGGUAGUCCCUGUCUCUUAUACA
rnacentral:rRNA from 1 species